UAAAACUCAAAUUGUGUUGUGCAAAAGCAACUUAAAUCCAGUUGGAACAUUUAUUUUUGGUACAGUGGCGUUCUUGACUUAUGAAUGCCUCAACUUUCAAGUUUUUCCAGUUAUGAGCAGUCGAUUUUUUUUGCUUCAUGUUGAAAUAUUUGGAGUACGAGCGAGAUUCAGGUACGCUGUCGCUUGAUGGACGCGGAAAAAAAAAAUGGAGCUAUAAAAGAACAAAAACCACGAUCUGCGAUUAAGUGUGACUGACGAGGCUGAUGAGCCGAAGUCCGGCAGCCAAGGCCGUCGUUGCUCCACGCGACAAAUGCAGUGUCAUAUGGGGAGCCACCGACAUCUUUUGACCACCGAAUGCACUGCAGCCACGUGUUGAACCAAUCUUCCAUUUCCCAGUGAGCUUGUCUUCUUCGGGCUCCCCGGCGAGCUGAAGCCAGAGCCUGCCAGGGAUCGCCCUGGACUGGGCACCAGCCAAUCCCACUCACAUCUAUGGACAAGAAGUCUUCAAUGACACCAACGUGCACGCUU